UUUAGUAGCAGAAAUAUUUAGCUUUCACGUCAAACCUUUUGUAAGGCAACAAGUGAUGUCUCCAAAACUCCUGAUAAUUGAACAGUUUACUAACAUUAUUCCUUUAAAGUGAUGCAAGCAGCAUUUUCCUGGUGACACAAGUACACACGUGACACUGUGAACCUGGCUCGCCAAAAAAUUAGUGUGUCAAAGUUUCAGCACUCCACAGCUACUGCUUGCCGCCUCACUAGAGUUGGACGCGUAUUAAUUGCGCAAAUCUUUUCAAAUAACAUGUUCUCAAAAAUUUUGUGUUGGGACGUGCAACAAUUUUGUGUCAGAGAUUUCGCCCAUUUUGACACGCACUCUCAUAAAGGUUGCCCAACCCUGUGACCUGUUACCUGUAACCUAAGGUACAGUGCUAAAUAGCAGGCUCGCGAAAAUAAGGCAAUUGUAAACAUGAUAUGUGUGUGUGUGUGUGUGUGUGUGUGUGUGUGUGUGUGUGUUUCUCUCUCUCUCUCUCUCUCUCUCUCUCUCUCUCUCCUCUCUCUGCUGUUGCCUCCCCCAUUCCUGAGGCAGACGCCUGCAGGGAUGAGAGACGCCAGUGCCCCGCCGCCGCCGUCGGUGGAGUGGGGAUGGGGAGAGAGGCAAGUCGUAAGCCCUGCCCGCCAUCCGCCAGCUGGGCCUUGGCCUCUGUUGGGUGGGGGUGGGGCAAGUCGUAAGUCCGCCAGCUGGGCCUUGGCCUGGCCCGCAGCGGCGCCUCGCCCUCCAAGACAGGCAACACUUCCUUGGCGAACACGACCACUCCUGCCACGCUUCCUGCAAGGUGGUGCAUCACAGCGCCACAGACUCACAGAGGCAGUGUAGUUGAGGCACUGACUGGUGGACGGCCCUGAUGGCGGCCAGAACCUCUUGGGCGUCUUGGUCACACACGGUCAGGUGGAGUCGCCAGAGGCCCCGCCACUCCUGCAGCAGCUGCGUGCCGGCACCACUUAGGUGACCCGUGAACACACCAAGAUGCCCACCACUACACACAGGAGUGGUCUUCCCUCGUUUCACAGGACGUGGACUCCAGCUUGAAAAGACUCCUCGAUAAAGUUCAUGACAUGUUCAAUAUUUGCCUCCC